rnacentral:lncRNA from 1 species
AUGAAUAUAGUACCGACGGCUGCGGAGAUUUUGAGUAGAGACCGUCUAUUUCUCAAAGGUGAGAUGAAAAAGAUCUCUGAGAAAUUGGAAGAAAGGACAGAAGGACCAGGCACUAUAUGGCCCAUGGGAGGGACUUUUGAUCCAAUAAUGUAUAGGGACAUGGCGGUAGUGAUAAGGGAUUACAUAGAUAACAGAAGUGGUAAAACGGCCUUAGAGAAGAAGGCCAGGGAAAAGUUAGUACUAGCUUUGCUCCUAGAGGAAGGAGAGAGAUCUCGAACGUUACAAAGAGUGGCGGGAGAAAUAAUAGCUAAGAACAAAAAGGCUCAACCAUUGCCUCUGAAGGUUGAGCCACCGCUAUACAAACCAGUGUCAGUCUAUCCAUUGUUAAAAGGCAUGGUAGCAAAUAAAGGGGAGGUCACACUAGAUGAGGAGGAUAAGCAAUGUAACACACAGGGAAGGAGGGGCGCACCCAUACACAUGGACUGUUAUGAGGGGAUUAGAAAUACAAUAGAAGAGUGUGACGAUUCUGAAACUAGUUCUAGUGAAAGCAAGGACGAGGAUAAGAAUAGUGGUGAUGAGCACGUGGGCGAAGAUGGGAACAAUGCUACUGAACAAAAUUACAAAGAACUUUCUUCUAAAAUUAAAAGGAGAGGAAAGAACACAAAGAAGAGAACGAAGAGUCAGAGGAGGCAGAAAAAAAGGAGAGAUAGUAAUUGGGGAGAGAGUUCCCGUGUGGGUCAAGCGUUGGGGGAGCCUAGCUGUAGUACAGCAUUACAAAGCCCCCUGGCACUCGAAACACAGGGGAAACUAAGGAGAUCACAUAGAGAGAGAAGAGCACCCGACACGUCAUCAGGAAAUUAUCCUAUUCUAAUCAAUGGACAGCAGGCAUUCUCUCCCCCGAUAGAACAGCCUCAGAGCCAACAGUCACCUAAUCCACCCAUUACACAUGUUCACAUCCAUAAUUAUGGGAACCCCACAAAUAUAAAUAGACAGAAUCAGAAUGAGGGCCAAGGUCAGUUUAGAAACAAUCAACAACAAGGAUUCAAAGGACAACGCAGAGGUCCUUUAAUAUGUUAUGGGUGUAACCAGGAAGGACAUAUUAAGAGAAAUUGUUCAAUGAACCCUUUCCCACCCCAGCAAGGACAGGGUAACGGCUAUCAGGGAAGGCAAGAACAAGGAGGUAGCUCCCAGCCAGGUCCUAUUAUGGGACAGGGAUACUAG